UAACAGCAGCUCUCGUCCUAGAGGGCGAAGAGAGGUGGUAUUUGAGUCCUCCGGUAUCCCAGCAGGCAGUGCAGCCUAGAGACGCUGACAAAGGACUGAAGGAGCAGUCGCAGCCUUGGAGCCGGGUUUGCCGAGAUUGCCAAAAUGCUUUGGAAUUUUUAACUGACUUUAAGGAAAGUCCAAAAUAGAUUUGAGACUGUGAAAAAAGCUGCAGCAAGGGGGAUUCAGUGCCAAUGCAUCAACAAAAAAAACAGCAAGAUUUAGUGGAAGGAAAUCUUCCUGUUUUUGUGUUUCCCACGGAGCUAAUAUUUUAUGCAGAUGACCAGUCAACACAUAAGCAAGUGUUGACUUUAUAUAACCCCUAUGAGUUUGCCUUAAAGUUCAAAGUUUUGUGUACUACUCCAAAUAAGUAUGUUGUCGUUGAUGCUGCAGGUGCAGUAAAGCCUCAGUGUUGUGUGGAUAUUGUGAUUCGUCAUAAAGAUGUUCGAUCCUGUCACUAUGGAGUAAUGGACAAAUUCCGUCUCCAAGUUUCUGAACAAAGCCAGAGGAAGGCUUUAGGAAGGAAAGAGGUUGUGGCCACUCUUCUCCCUUCUGCAAAAGAGCAACAAAAGGAAGAAGAGGAAAAAAGAAUAAAGGAACCAUUAAGUGAUAGCUUAUUUUUUGAGCAGUCAUUUCAACCAGAAAACAGAACUGUCUCCUCAGGACCUAGUUUACUAACUGUCUUCCUGGCAGUGGUGUGCAUUGCAGCUCUGAUGCUUCCUACACUGGGGGAUGUGGAAUCGCUGGUGCCUCUCUACCUCCACUUAAGUGUAAAUCAAAAAUUAGUGGCUGCUUACAUCUUAGGUCUUAUCACAAUGGCUAUAUUUAGAACAUGAGCAAGGAAUUCAAUUGACUUCUGAAAUCUUUUUACAGAAUGAACUUAUGCACUGCUACUGUAGUAUUCUCAAGGAGUAUAUGUAAACACAAAAUGUACGCCUGAGUAUGUACCCGGAGCAGCAAGAGUGGACCCCACCAAGCUCCUUACCUGGGAAUUAUACUCAGCAUGUCAGCAUCAAGCCGCCAUAGCUUUGACCUCUGAGCAUGUGUGAUUUAUUAUCUUGCACCCAUUAGCAAGAUGUGUCUUAAGCACAAAAUCACAAACCAGCUGUCUGCGACUUUCAAAUGUGUCCUUUUUCCCUUGUGUUCAAUGGAGAAUUACCAAGCAUAAGAGCCAUGCCAAGAAAUCAAGUGAAAUGAAG